rnacentral:snoRNA from 1 species
ACCUGCAUUCGCAAGUGCUCACGGUCUGUCAGUGUCCUGGUCACUGAUAGUGCAGGGAGGAGCUGCUGAAGGGCUUCCACUCCCGUCUCUUCCAAAUUCUGGGGCUUUCCCACG